rnacentral:rRNA from 1 species
CCUUGACAUCGAUCUGGAAUCCUGCCAGAGAUGACGGGAGUGCCUCUCGGGAAUCAAGAACACAGGAUGCUGCAUGGUCUGUCGUCAUGCCUCGUGUCGUGAUGAUGAUUGGGUUAAUGUCCUCGCAACCGAGCGCAACCCCUGUCCUUUGUUUGUCUCAGCCACGAUAUAUGGUGGGACACUCAUAGGUGAGACUGCCGGUGAUCAAAACCGGAGGAAGGUGGGGAUGACGUCAAGUCAUCAUGGCCCUUUACUGGACCAUGGGCUACACACGUGCAUACAAUGGCGCGUACAGAGGGCUUGCAAACUAGCGAUGAGGUGAGCGAAUCCUCAUAUAAAGCGCGUCGUAGUCCGGAUCGCGAGUCUGCAACUCGACUGCCGUGAAGUCGGAAUCGCUAGUAUCGCGAAAUCAGAAUGUGCGUGAUAUC